ensembl:lncRNA novel transcript, antisense to RIPPLY2
ACUCACCUGACUGGGUGCCUGAAUUGGUAAAGCUUUCCUGAGGCUGCGGUCAUUCCAGGGCCAUCGGGCAUCUGGAGAGGAAAGGAAGUGAAUCCAGUUAUCACCCACCUCCUUCUAGAAAGUGGAAACGUGCACGACCCAGUGUUCCUCGUGCCCGCUGGGAAUGUAACCCCAGGGCUCUCAGCAGCCUCGCUCCCGGCUGGGUGCCUGUGGCCCAUCGCUCCAGAGGACACAUCCGCCGCGUCGGCACCUUUAUGGCCACCGGCAGGCGGGAUGUUAAGCGAGAGGCAGGACCCGGUGUCUCGCAUGUCUCUCUCAGGCCCUGCGUCCCGAGAGCCCUGGUCGAUCUUCUGCACCCGUGGGAGGCGCGGCCUGAGACGCGUGGCUCACUCACCGCCUCCGCGGCGUGGUUCGGCGUCUCCUCUUCUUUCUUGCCUCCGGCGUCCACCCAGGGUCUCCAGAAGCCUGCGUAUCUGCGGGAUAGGGGAGCACAAGGCGCGCAGAGGAGACGUGAGCCCAGACCCGGGAGAAUCCACCGAAGCCGAGCGCUGGCACCGGGCAGUGGGGGAUGGAGAGUUGGAGGGGAGGAGCUGGGGAGGCGCAGGAGGGAGAGACGGGGGAAGCUGGGAGGCGCAGAGCAGCGCGGGGAAGCCUACCCGGAGUCCGCGCCCGCGCGCCGCGUAGGGCCGUCGGUGGCCGCGCACGCCGCAGCUCCACUCUCUGUACCCUCUGCGCCUCCCGCGUUCUCCAUGACGCCGCAGAGCUGGGCGGAAGGCCGCUGCCAGCUCGCGGGCAAUCUUGACCAGUUCCAGUAGGUCCGAGACCCGAGCUUUAUAUAGCCCUCGCGGCCUGCUGCACAUUGAGAGGUUCGCUGCCUCUCCGCCCCUCUCCCUGCUAGCCGCAUAAACAAAAAGGCUGCGCGUGAAGGCGCACCGGGCUGAGCCCCGGGUGUGAACGCGUGCAACUCCCAAAUGGCCCGGGACAGGGUUUUGUCGAGCGAAUGUUAAUCGCCCUUCGACACAUGGCUGCGGAGAAAAACAACAUUCGCCCGAGCAGCCAAUUUCCGUGUGAAGAGGCCAGGAGGAGAUGGAAUUAAGCGAGUCUACACGUUUUGUGGAUUUCUGCAAAAAGGCCAAGUGACUGGUUAAUUGCUUGAUUCGCUGGAGACUCAGGACUUGGCCUGUGGCAAAUCAACUGGUUCUGCAUCCCGUGUUCUAAAAGCUGGGAUGCAGACUAGAAUUCAAAGGAAUAAACUUAAUUCCUCUUCAUGGAACAAUUUUCUAAAAAAUGGGGAGAAUGCAUGGACUCCUUAAGAGAGGAAUGUCGGUUUUUUAAAAAAGUAUUGAUAAACUAGGUUCAUACUCCAGCCUAUUAUUAUUUGAAGAUAAUAGAAAAUUAUUGGCAACAAGAGGUAAAUUGUAAAAGAUUCGCUGUUCUGGCUAAGAGAGCCAGAGACUGGAGUCAUGUGAUUUGGGCAUAGAGCUCUAAAUUAUCUUCUCGUGUCUUUUGUGAUUUUCCCCAACAUUUUAUCAGUGUCCUCCUACAAUAACUUUUGAGUUCGUCUAUACACCUCUGUCACUACUUGGUAUUUUGUCACUCAAUGGUAAUUACAAAAUUCUUUUUUGAGGGCAGUGUUGUGGAAUGAUAAUGAAAUCUUGAAAAGUUAUGAUAUGAGACAAGUUAAUCAAACGUCUGCACCCCUGUUUCUCUGAUUUGAGUUACCCCUCACUUAUCUACCACUAAACUUUGUAAAAAGUGUUAUGCAUCGAGGAAAAGAUGAUAUAUAAAUGUUAUAAUUUUUUUCAAAAUGUUUUAAAUAAUAAAACUGGACUUUCUCUUAAAAGUUUAGACAAAAA